UACGAGGGGGGCAAGCGUUGUUCGGAAUUAUUGGGCGUAAAGGGCGCGUAGGCGGUGCGGUAAGUCAGCUGUGAAACCUCUAGGCUCAACCUAGAGCCUGCAGGCGAAACUGCCGUGCUUGAGGGUGGGAGAGGUGCGUGGAAUUCCCGGUGUAGCGGUGAAAUGCGUAGAGAUCCGGAAGAACACCGGUGGCGAAGGCGGUCUGCUGGGCAGUAGCUGACACUGAGGCGCGACAGCGUGGGGAGCAAACAGG
rnacentral:rRNA from 1 species